rnacentral:rRNA from 1 species
ACGGAGGGGGCUAGCGUUGUUCGGAAUUACUGGGCGUAAAGCGUACGUAGGCGGCUUUGUAAGUUAGAGGUGAAAGCCCGGGGCUCAACCCCGGAAUUGCCUUUAAGACUGCAUCGCUUGAACGUCGGAGAGGUGAGUGGAAUUCCGAGUGUAGAGGUGAAAUUCGUAGAUAUUCGGAAGAACACCAGUGGCGAAGGCGGCUCACUGGACGACUGUUGACGCUGAGGUACGAAAGCGUAGGGAGCAAACAGGA